rnacentral:lncRNA from 1 species
GGACCGUCAAUAGUCUUCGGUCAUUGAACUGUCAAAACGAGAGAGGAGAAGCUCUUUAAAAGGGAGAUCUUCGAGGCCUUAAACCUCUCACACUUAGCAUUCUCAACAACCAAAUCAAAGGUAAUUUCAAAGAACUUUUGCUUUUUGAAUUUUAAUUUUCUUCUUCUAUCCAAAUUAUGACAAGAAUGAAAAGGGUUGACAAUCGAAUAAUUUAGAGUUACCUACAGUGAGAGUGAUCAUUUAGGGUUUCGAUGGAAGCCAACUUCCACAUUUACACCACGAAAAUGGAGGAGAUGCAAUGAGUUUUGGCCAUACAGGGGAUAUAGAUCCCCUACUUCGCGUGUGAAUUUUCCAUUCUUGAGUGGUUGCAUAGGCUGAAUGAAACCACUGAGGAUAGUUUCCUGCUCCCCCUCCAUGCACUUGAGGUUGGGUUCCAUCUGUCAUUUAACCCUUUCUUCUGCCACCUGUUUGAUAACUACAAAAUUUCCCCUGGUCAGUUUUCAGGGUUUUCUUGGUGGAUCACGAUUGCGUACUUCACUGACUACUGCCAGAAUAAAGAGGUUCCCUUGCUCGUAAUUUUUCAGCACUUAUACCAGCUGAAAGGUCAAAACUGAGAGAACUUAUCGGGGUUCUAUUACUUUAUCCCCGGCACGAAAAGGUAGAGACCAUUAUUUCAAAUUGGUUCCCCAAUCUUCGCCUGAAUUGAAGGAAGUAUAUCUGGGACUAAAAUAAACUUGGUGAUGGGUUCAGAUUUUUAGCCGAAUAGUCUUCACUGAACCGAGACAUGUGCUCAUUUAAGUGAACCCUUCCUAACAAGAGAUGCCCUAGCCCAAUUUUGGAGGCUUCACGCCGGACAAUCACUGAUUUUAGAGAACCUUUUAAUGACGAGAAAUAUGUUUUAGUACUGUUUAGAGGGCUUCAGCCCCAAUGGGUAGAGGCAUAGUGAUAGUAGGGUGGUCAUUCAAGCAGUUGGUACACGGCCUGAAAGUAAUAUGUGGCAUCACAAUUUUACGGAUGAGUUGGGUGUAAUACUAUGAGGUUGCAAAGAGGAAUCGGUGAACUUCUUUUAUAGCUUUUAUGGGAUGAGACCUCGCAUAUAGAUCUCUGUCGUUUCUUUACGAGGGAAAAGUGGUAGGUAGAAUAUUAACUGCUAAUAGUUUCCACUGAUCUUAGAAUUGUUACUGAUGCAGGUAUCGACUGCGACUCCAUGAACAAUUCGGUAGAUACUAAUAGUAUAUCUCAUGAAAUAAACAAGGCUAAGAACAUACAAUCCUCGAUAAGGGGCAUGUGCAAAAAGUGUAAGACAAUCGUGGGGACGCAAACAUUGUUGUUACCAGCAAAGAGGAGGGAAAUAGUAGAGGUUUGGAACAACAUUACAAGAGGAGAAUGGACCCUACUAGGCCUACCAUUACAAUAGUUGCUAGUCUAGCUUCUUCCUCUACUAGUUCGCUAUUAGUGCCCCUCGUUAGCUCACCUAUUACUGUUGACGAGGACUCUCUUCUCGCUGUUCAUUAUGUUCCUCCUUCUAUGCUGCUAUUGAAAAAGCAGGAGUUGAAGGUAAUAGAGGUCAAUUUCCAUGGCAUUGUCAUUUGAGCAUGCAGGAGUACCCCUAUGAUCUUGUUGGUGCUACCCAAAAAUAGAAAGCAUCUUUACCAGAAAUCAUGGGGCAGGAAAUGCAUACGGUGGGGUUAUCGAGUGGUGUACAAAAACCCUCAGUAAAAAGGAUCAUUUCAUCUCUGUAAUUUCUACUUGCUGAAGCUAACAUCAUUAGGUUAGAUCUCAGCCAGAAUAUUGAUGGGGUUAAGGUCUUCCAAGGUGAGGUCGCGGAGACUAAAAUAAAACUUGAAAGGGUUCGCAACCUGUACCUCAAAAUGAGGGAAGAAAAUGAAGACCCAUUCUCGUAGGAUGAGUUCGUAUCCAGCUGGAAAAGCUCACAAGAUUUUUACUUAGAUGAAAAAUUAUUCGAGGUCAGCAUCCCUACUGUUGACAACAACAAUGUGGACUAAAUCGUCGAUGGGGAAGAAGAGGAAGAUAAUCUUCAUUAGUUUAUUAGUGCCUUGUAUUACUUUCUUCUUUUUUUGAAAUAAAGUUUGAUUUUUAAGGAAAUUUGGUUUUAUCAGUUGUUACUAUAACAUUAUAGCAUUUGCGAGCUUAUCACAUUUAUUGUAUGAUUAUAUUGCUAUCAUCAAAGCUUUAACUUAAACAAAUUUCAGAAAAUCAUCAGCUGCAAGCUGUUUUAAACUUAAGCAAAUUUUUCAACAUUAGCAACUAAGAAUACAAAUUUGUGAGCUAUUUUAGAGGCUUUGAUAUUAAAUAAAUGAGCCUUUUCAUAUUAGUUGGGAGCUUUGGCUCGUGCUUACUAUUUUGGAAGUCGCGAUAUUGAAUCAACAAGCCUUUGGAUUACAACUAGGAGCUUGAGCUCGCACUGACUAUUUUGGAGGUCACAAUAUUAAAUCAACAAGCAUUUGGAUUACAAUUGGGAGCUUUGGCUCGCGCUAACUAUUUUGGAGGUUGCGAUAUUAAAUCAGCGAGCCUUUGGAUUACAGCUGGGAGCUUUGGCUCACACUAACUAUUUUGGAGGUCGCAAUAUUGAAUCAGUGAGCUUUUGCAUAUCAGUUGGGAGCUUUGGCUUACGCUUAUUGCUUUGGAGGUUGGGAUAUUGAAUCAGCGAGCCUUUGGACUAUAGCUAGGAGCUUGAGCUUGAGCUCGUGCUUAUUGUUUUAGAGGCCAUGAUAUUGAAUCAACGAGCCUUUGGAUUACAGUUGAGAGCUUUGGCUCGCGCUUACUGUUUUGGAGGUCGUGAUAUUAAAUCAGCGAGCCUUUUCAUAUCAGUUGGGAGCUUUGGCUCUCGCUGACUAUUUUAGAGGUCGCGAUAUUAAAUUGGUUGGGAACUUGAGCUCAAGUUGACUAUUUUAGAAGGACAAGUUGUAAACAUAUUAAUAAAAAAAAUUCUUUUUUUAUUAAAGAAUAAGAGUUUACACAUAGUAUUUUUUAAGGUGACGAGCGUUCCAUCUUAGUGUUUAAUACCUCUAACCUUCUGUUUGUCUUUGGGGUUGUUACGCGAACCCUGUGCUUACUGAGGAGCAUCAUGAUCCACGUACUCGACGAGCUCACCGUCCUUGACUACCUUUUUUAUAGUAUCCUUCAAAGUAAUGCCCCACAUCAUUAUGGAAGACAUAUCUAUCUGUCGAACUCAACCUCCUCUCACUGCGCUUUAUAGGGGACGGAUAGGGCAAGAUGCUAGAAUUCUUCACUUGGUUCAAAAUAUGCACGAGUUGCGUUCGAUAGAGUAUAGGUUUCAAACCUGCCUUGUGGUACAUACUUCAUUGUUUACUCGAGUGGAGAUCUUUGAGGGGCACUAGGAGAACUUCUCGGUACUUGUGUUGUCUGAUGUCUAUUGCUUCAGGACGUGAGGUCUGAGUGGGUGAUUGCUGUCUAUUGCGAGCUCCUUCUCUUUCUUUGAACUACUAGCCAUCUCUUCUAAAUGUGCCACACGUCGCCCUUUUAGUCUCCCCUACUUCUGUGAACUUGUGAGCUCACUUAUAUAGGUUCGCCAAACCCUGUGACUUAUUAUCAGUAAAGGAGUACUGCACAUGCUUAUUUUUCACUCCCAUAAUAAAGGCAUCAAUGGCUCACUAGUCUUCAAGGUUUUUCAUGUUGAGAGUCGCUGCAUAAAAUCACUUUACAUAGUCCUGAAGAGACUUUCCUUCUCUUUGCCUCACCGACAUCAAUCCCAUAGGUGUGCUUAUUAUCAACUUAUGAGCCCUGAAUCUUCCCAAGAACAUCUGACCCAACUGGGAAAACUUCGAAUGAAGCCUUGGGAAAGGGAUAAAUACCAAUCAUUUGCACUCUCUUUGAGUGUUGUAGAGAAAGCUUUGAACUUCACUAAGUCUGAAGCUCCAACACAUUCAUAUAAUCAUUGUAUUGCAUCAGGUGGGCUUGCGGGUCCUUCAUGCCUUCAAACAUGUCCCUCGGCACUUUGAAUUCACGUGGUAAACUUACUAUCGCCAACUCUAAGGGCCAAAGGAUUGUUAAAGCAGAAAAGUCAAUCCAUGUCUUGAGCUUUAGGAUGCAAUGCCCUCAUGUCUUGCCGCAAUGCAUUCAUUUCACCUUGUCAUUCCCUUGCAUACGAGCCUGGAACUUCCUCCUACAUGGUUACAUUAUCAUGAAAAUCAGAAUUAUUAGAUUGUACUUUUUUUUUAGCUUCUAAUUUUGCUUCAACAACUCUUGUUGGAUGGUUUGCUAUUGAUCCAUCUAUACUUUCUGUGCAAACAUUUGUUCCUUCAUUAGCCCCAUCUAUUUUUAAAGAGAAAAAAACUCUUGUGGUAAUGCCUCUUGGUUAGGGGAAAGUGAUAGCCCUAGAUCGGUGGGAAGAUUAAAGUCGGAUGGGCUUGAAACUCUCGGAUGGGACACAUUACCUAGGUUUUCUGGCCAGUCGGCAAACCAGUUAGCAAAUAAAUCUGUUCCAGUAGGUUGGCUGUCAGAAUCUGAGGCUCUAGUCUUGCCAGACGAAAAAUUAACGAAAAAAUUUUCAUUUGGAUGAGCCAUUAUGAUCAUCGAAUUGAGAGAGUUCUGUUGGUCAGAAGUGUGUUCACGCUCACCACACCAAUUUUGAGUAAUUUUCUGUUGUUUUUUAUUAAAGGGGACAAUUAGGUAUUUAUACAUAUUAUCACAAUUUAUGACUUGACUCCACUAUUCACGAUUUGACCUGCUAUUCAUAGGAUUGACAAUCUGAGCGGGCCCCGGGCAUGUUGGACAUGUGUACUGCUCUAGGUCAACUGUUAAACUUCGCGGUCCCCGCCCUGCGAACUCCUUGUGUAUGC